UACGUAGGGUGCGAGCGUUAAUCGGAAUUACUGGGCGUAAAGUGUGCGCAGGUGGCUGAGCAAGUCGAGUGUGAAAUCCCCGGGCUUAACUUGGGAAUUGCGCUCGAAACUACUUGGCUGGAGUGUGGCAGAGGAAGGUGGAAUUCCACGUGUAGCGGUGAAAUGCGUAGAGAUGUGGAGGAACACCGAUGGCGAAGGCAGCCUUCUGGGCCAACACUGACGCUCAUGUGCGAAAGCGUGGGGAGCAAACAGG
rnacentral:rRNA from 1 species